AGUCAACCUAACCUAUGGACGGGAAUAACCUCGGGAAACUGAGAAUAAUGCCCGAUAGAACAUUAUGCCUGGAAUGGUUUAUGUUCCAAAUGAUUUAUCGCCGUAGGAUGGGACUGCGGCCUAUCAGUUUGUUGGUGAGGUAAUGGCCCACCAAGACUAUUACAGGUACGGGCUCUGAGAGGAGUAGCCCGGAGAUGGGUACUGAGACACGGACCCAGGCCCUAUGGGGCGCAGCAGGCGAGAAAACUUUGCAAUGUGCGAAAGCACGACAAGGUUAAUCCGAGUGUUUUCUGCUAAAGAAAUCUUUUGUCAGUCCUAAAAACACUGAUGAAUAAGGGGUGGGCAAGUUCUGGUGUCAGCCGCCGCGGUAAAACCAGCACCUCAAGUGGUCAGGAGGAUUAUUGGGCCUAAAGCAUCCGUAGCCGGCCGUGUAAGUUUUCGGUUAAAUCUAUAUGCUCAACAUAUAGGCUGCCGGGAAUACUGCACAGCUAGGGAGUGGGAGAGGUAGACGGUACUCGGUAGGAAGGGGUAAAAUCCUUUGAUCUAUUGAUGACCACCUGUGGCGAAGGCGGUCUACUAGAACACGUCCGACGGUGAGGGAUGAAAGCUGGGGGAGCAAACCGGAUUAGAUACCCGGGUAGUCCCAGCUGUAAACAAUGCAAACUCAGUGAUGCACUGGCUUGUGGCCAGUGCAGUGCC
rnacentral:rRNA from 1 species